rnacentral:rRNA from 1 species
UACGUAGGGGGCAAGCGUUGUCCGGAUUUACUGGGCGUAAAGAGCGUGUAGGCGGCCAAGCAGGUCCGUUGUGAAAACUGGAGGCUUAACCUCCAGACGUCGACGGAAACCGCGUGGCUAGAGUCCGGAGGAGGAGAGUGGAAUUCCUGGUGUAGCGGUGAAAUGCGCAGAUAUCAGGAAGAACACCAAUGGCGAAGGCAGCUCUCUGGGACGGUACUGACGCUGAGACGCGAAAGCGUGGGGAGCGAACAGG